AACGAACACUGGUGGUAUGCUUAACACAUGCAAGUCGAACGAGCACGACCUAGCUUGCUGGGUACGGCUAGUGGCAGACGGGUGAGUAAUACAUAGGAAUCUACCCAGUAGUAAGGGAUAACUUAUGGAAACAUAAGCUAAUACUGUAUACUACCGAUUUAUCGGGAAAGGCUUCGGCCGCUAUUGGAUGAGCUUAUGCCAGAUUAGCUAGUUGGUAGGGUAAAGGCCUACCAAGGCUGUGAUCUGUAGCUGGUUUGAGAGAAUGAUCAGCCACACUGGGACUGCGACACGGCCCAGACUCCUACGGGAGGCAGCAGUGAGGAAUUUUGGACAAUGGGCGAAAGCCUGAUCCAGCAAUACCACGUGAGUGAUGAAGGCCUUCGGGUUGUAAAGCUCUUUUAGUAGGGAAGAUAGUGACGGUACCUACAGAAAAAGCACCGGCUAAUUCCGUGCCAGCCGCCGCGGUAA
rnacentral:rRNA from 1 species